GAUGAACGCUGGCGGCGUGCUUAACACAUGCAAGUCGAACGGGAAACCUUUUAUUGAAGCUUCUGCAGAUUUAGCUGGUUUCUAGUGGCGGACGGGUGAGUAACGCGUGGGUAUUCUGCCUUAUACAGGGGGAUAACAAUCAGAAAUGGUUGCUAAUACCGCAUAAGCGCACAGGACCGCAUGUUCCGGCGUGAAAAACUCCGGUGGCAUAGGAUGGACCCGCGUUGGAUUAGCUGGUUGGCAGGGUAACGGCCUACCAAGGCGACGAUCCAUAGCCGGGAUGAGAGGGUGAACGGCCACGUUGGGGCUAAGACACAGCCCAGAAUCCUACGGAAGGGAGGAGAGGGGGAUAUUGCACAAUGGAGGAAGCCCUGAUGCAGCGGCGCCGGGUGAAGGAGGAAGUAGCUCGGUAUGUGAACUUCUAUCAGCAGGGGAGAUAGUGACGGUACCUGACGAAGAAGCCCCGGCUAACUACGUG
rnacentral:rRNA from 1 species